rnacentral:rRNA from 1 species
AUUGAACGCUUGCGGCAGGCUUAACACAUGCAAGUCGAGCGGAGCGAGGGUGCUUGCACCUUAGCUUAGCGGCGGACGGGUGAGUAAUGCUUAGGAAUCUGCCUAUUAGUGGGGGACAACAUUCCGAAAGGAAUGCUAAUACCGCAUACGCCCUACGGGGGAAAGCAGGGGAUCUUCGGACCUUGCGCUAAUAGAUGAGCCUAAGUCGGAUUAGCUAGUUGGUGGGGUAAAGGCCUACCAGGGCGACGAUCUGUAGCGGGUCUGAGAGGAUGAUCCGCCACACUGGGACUGAGACACGGCCCAGACUCCUACGGGAGGCAGCAGUGGGGAAUAUUGGACAAUGGGCGGAAGCCUGAUCCAGCCAUGCCGCGUGUGUGAAGAAGGCCUUUUGGUUGUAAAGCACUUUAAGCGAGGAGGAGGCUCUUAAGGUUAAUACCCUUGAUGAGUGGACGUUACUCGCAGAAUAAGCACCGGCUAACUCUGUGCCAGCCGCCGCCGUAACAC